rnacentral:rRNA from 1 species
CAAUAGCGUAUAUUAAAGUUGUUGCGGUUAAAAAGACUCGUAGUUGGAUUUCUGUCUGAGGCGGCCGGUCCGCUUUCUGAGUGAGCAUCUGGUCCGCUUUGGGCAUCCUCCUGGGGAACGUUUCCGCGCUUGAUUGUGUGGUACGGAAUCUAGGACUUUUACUUUGAGGAAAUUAGAGUGUUCACUGCAGGCAUACGCCUUGAAUACGUUAGCAUGGAAUAAUAAGAUAGGACCUUGGUCUAUUUUGUUGGUUUAUUUUCCAAGGUAAUGAUUAAUAGGGAUAGUUGGGGGUAUUCGUAUUCAAUUGUCAGAGGUGAAAUUCUUGGAUUUAUGGAAGACGAACUACUGCGAAAGCAUUUACCAAGGAUGUUUUCAUUAAUCAAGAACGAAAGUUAGGGGAUCGAAGACGAUCAGAUACCAU